GGGUUGUGAGGUUAAGCGACUAAGCGUACACGGUGGAUGCCCUGGCAGUCAGAGGCGAUGAAGGACGUGCUAAUCUGCGAUAAGCGUCGGUAAGGUGAUAUGAACCGUUAUAACCGGCGAUUUCCGAAUGGGGAAACCCAGUGUGUUUCGACACACUAUCAUUAACUGAAUCCAUAGGUUAAUGAGGCGAACCGGGGGAACUGAAACAUCUAAGUACCCCGAGGAAAAGAAAUCAACCGAGAUUCCCCCAGUAGCGGCGAGCGAACGGGGAGCAGCCCAGAGCCUGAAUCAGUGUGUGUGUUAGUGGAAGCGUCUGGAAAGGCGCGCGAUACAGGGUGACAGCCCCGUACACAAAAAUGCACAUGCUGUGAGCUCGAUGAGUAGGGCGGGACACGUGGUAUCCUGUCUGAAUAUGGGGGGACCAUCCUCCAAGGCUAAAUACUCCUGACUGACCGAUAGUGAACCAGUACCGUGAGGGAAAGGCGAAAAGAACCCCGGCGAGGGGAGUGAAAAAGAACCUGAAACCGUGUACGUACAAGCAGUGGGAGCACGCUUAGGCGUGUGACUGCGUACCUUUUGUAUAAUGGGUCAGCGACUUAUAUUCUGUAGCAAGGUUAACCGAAUAGGGGAGCCGAAGGGAAACCGAGUCUUAACUGGGCGUUAAGUUGCAGGGUAUAGACCCGAAACCCGGUGAUCUAGCCAUGGGCAGGUUGAAGGUUGGGUAACACUAACUGGAGGACCGAACCGACUAAUGUUGAAAAAUUAGCGGAUGACUUGUGGCUGGGGGUGAAAGGCCAAUCAAACCGGGAGAUAGCUGGUUCUCCCCGAAAGCUAUUUAGGUAGCGCCUCGUGAAUUCAUCUCCGGGGGUAGAGCACUGUUUCGGCAAGGGGGUCAUCCCGACUUACCAACCCGAUGCAAACUGCGAAUACCGGAGAAUGUUAUCACGGGAGACACACGGCGGGUGCUAACGUCCGUCGUGAAGAGGGAAACAACCCAGACCGCCAGCUAAGGUCCCAAAGUCAUGGUUAAGUGGGAAACGAUGUGGGAAGGCCCAGACAGCCAGGAUGUUGGCUUAGAAGCAGCCAUCAUUUAAAGAAAGCGUAAUAGCUCACUGGUCGAGUCGGCCUGCGCGGAAGAUGUAACGGGGCUAAACCAUGCACCGAAGCUGCGGCAGCGACGCUUAUGCGUUGUUGGGUAGGGGAGCGUUCUGUAAGCCUGUGAAGGUGUGCUGUGAGGCAUGCUGGAGGUAUCAGAAGUGCGAAUGCUGACAUAAGUAACGAUAAAGCGGGUGAAAAGCCCGCUCGCCGGAAGACCAAGGGUUCCUGUCCAACGUUAAUCGGGGCAGGGUGAGUCGACCCCUAAGGCGAGGCCGAAAGGCGUAGUCGAUGGGAAACAGGUUAAUAUUCCUGUACUUGGUGUUACUGCGAAGGGGGGACGGAGAAGGCUAUGUUGGCCGGGCGACGGUUGUCCCGGUUUAAGCGUGUAGGCUGGUUUUCCAGGCAAAUCCGGAAAAUCAAGGCUGAGGCGUGAUGACGAGGCACUACGGUGCUGAAGCAACAAAUGCCCUGCUUCCAGGAAAAGCCUCUAAGCAUCAGGUAACAUCAAAUCGUACCCCAAACCGACACAGGUGGUCAGGUAGAGAAUACCAAGGCGCUUGAGAGAACUCGGGUGAAGGAACUAGGCAAAAUGGUGCCGUAACUUCGGGAGAAGGCACGCUGAUAUGUAGGUGA
rnacentral:rRNA from 1 species